rnacentral:rRNA from 1 species
GGAGCGUUCUGUAAGCCUGCGAAGGUGUGCUGUGAGGCAUGCUGGAGGUAUCAGAAGUGCGAAUGCUGACAUAAGUAACGAUAAAGCGGGUGAAAAGCCCGCUCGCCGGAAGACCAAGGGUUCCUGUCCAACGUUAAUCGGGGCAGGGUGAGUCGACCCCUAAGGCGAGGCCGAAAGGCGUAGUCGAUGGGAAACAGGUUAAUAUUCCUGUACUUGGUGUUACUGCGAAGGGGGGACGGAGAAGGCUAUGUUGGCCGGGCGACGGUUGUCCCGGUUUAAGCGUGUAGGCUGGUUUUCCAGGCAAAUCCGGAAAAUCAAGGCUGAGGCGUGAUGACGAGGCACUACGGUGCUGAAGCAACAAAUGCCCUGCUUCCAGGAAAAGCCUCUAAGCAUCAGGUAACAUCAAAUCGUACCCCAAACCGACACAGGUGGUCAGGUAGAGAAUACCAAGGCGCUUGAGAGAACUCGGGUGAAGGAACUAGGCAAAAUGGUGCCGUAACUUCGGGAGAAGGCACGCUGAUAUGUAGGUGAAGUCCCUUGCGGAUGGAGCUGAAAUCAGUCGAAGAUACCAGCUGGCUGCAACUGUUUAUUAAAAACACAGCACUGUGCAAACACGAAAGU